rnacentral:lncRNA from 1 species
GGUCUACAUAGACAAGCUCUUGAUCGAGUUUGAUAUUUUUUAUCCAAAAUUUAUACAAUUUGAUCGAGUUUCUGUGACACUCUCAUCAGUGAAUCUAUCAGGAAGGAUUAAGCCCAAAUCCUACUAACCAUUCCGAUCAACACAAAACAUAGAAGAAGUUCAAAAAAAAAAUGCCAGAGUACAAGAGAAGGACACAAUACAACAAGAUAUGGUCAUAAUGCUGCCCAGGUUGAACUUAAGAUGGUGAUGAUAGAAAAAAUAUGAACUAAUUUGUCAGUCGUUCUUGUUUCUGCAUAUCAUAAAGAACUUAUUAGUAAUGGAACUAACAAUUGGGAGUACAUAUAAUAUAACAAUGAAGGAGAUUAGUCCUCACCUUUCUCCACAUACAAUAUCAUGUUUCCACGUACGAACAAAAUUUUGUGGGCAUUCUUUAAUUUUAAGAGCGUAGGCCAAAUCUCUCUUGAUGCUUAUACCUAUCUUGACAAUGUUUAUAUCUAUCUUGACGGUCUAGUAAUGGAAAUUAAAGACAUAGGAUUAUAAUAAACAGAUAUAAAUUGAGAAAAGAAAGGCGUCAAAAAAGGAGAUUCAUAUACCCAAGGAGGUAGUCGAUCCUUGGUUUCCCAGUACACCUUUGCUGCUUUUUCUAGCUCUUUCAAAGCUUUCCAGUUAUCGCUUGCCCUGAAAUCAGUGACGGUGUUUCGCGCGGGUAAUCGCUAACAAUUAAAAAGGGAUCAGACGAUUGUGUAAGGGACAAACCUCUUGAGACAAAGUCCCAAAAAGGGGUGUUUUACUGGCAAUGACUUUACAAUUGG